rnacentral:rRNA from 1 species
UACGAGGGGGUGCAAGCGUUGCUCGGAAUUAUUGGGGCGUAAAGAGCUCGUAGGCGGCUUGUCGCGUCGACUGUGAAAACCCGCGGCUCAACUGUGGGCUUGCAGUCGAUACGGGCAGGCUGGAGUUCGGUAGGGGAGACUGGAAUUCCUGGUGUAGCGGUGAAAUGCGUAGAUAUCGAGAGGAACACCUGCGGCGAAGGCGGGGUACUGGGCCCGACACUACGUGAUGCGCGAAAAGCCAGGGGGGAGCGAACGGGG